CUUCCGGAAGGGUUGCUUGCUGGUUCGUGGUCUUCCCUUCCUCUUCUUCUUCUUCUUUCUCUUUGCUUCUUCUUUCUCUUCGCUUCUUCCUCUUCUUGUUCGGUUCUGGUGUAAUGGUCGGAAAUCCGACUCGGGGAGCUUGGUCGGAAAAUCCAACCGACGACUCCCGGUUGACUCCAGAAGUUGAGGUUUCCUCGCUUUCGGGGCCGAACGUUGAUCGGCUUCGGGAGCAGUAUCGAAUCCCGGAGCAGUUUCAACUCUCCACCCCAGGGGCCGGCGGUCGGGUUAACAACCCUCCGCCCGGCCAACUGGCGUUG
rnacentral:lncRNA from 1 species